GCAUGGCUCAGUUGGUUAGAGCGUGGUGCUGAUAAUGCCAAGGUUGCAGGUUCGAUCCCCGCAUGGGACA
rnacentral:tRNA from 1 species